rnacentral:rRNA from 1 species
GGUGCUGCAUGGUUGUCGUCAGCUCGUGCCGUGAGGUGUCGGGUUAAGUCCCAUAACGAGCGCAACCCCUAUCAUUAGUUGCCAUCAGGUCAAGCUGGGGACUCUAAUGAAACUGCCUACGCAAGUAGUGAGGAAGGUGGGGAUGACGUCAAAUCAGCACGGCCCUUACGUCCAGGGCUACACACGUGCUACAAUGGCCGGUACAGAGCGCAGCGAGGCCGCGAGGCGGAGCGAAUCGCUUAAAGCCGGUCCCAGUACGGAUUGGAGUCUGCAACCCGACUCCAUGAAGUUGGAAUCGCUAGUAAUCGCGCAUCAGCAUGGCGCGGUGAAUACGUUCCCGGGCCUU